UGAUGUUUUAAAGCAUCAAUAUUACACUUACAUGAUUUGGUCCUGUUUGAAAAAUUGCUCAAGGUAUUAUCAGAGGAAGGUGAAGCUGUGUACCUAUUUAUUAAAUUGUUAUUAUUUUUAGGACUUGCAAAAUUUGUAUGUGAAAGAAUUCCUGAUAAAUUUGAAGAAUUUGAACCUGAACCUGCUAGAUGACCAGUUCUGUUCGUGAGUUGAAAAUGUAUUUGCCUAUAUGGGGCCUUUUACAUUUUUCCUGUGAUUUAAUGCAGUUAGGAGAAAGUAUAGUUAAGAUCAUAAUGCAUACACAAUUGCGCAUUCAAGCUUUAAAAGCCUGAAAAAUUAUGCAAUUACUUUUGCAUAAUUGGCUUGUGCUUCUAUAUUUUGUGCUAAAGAUAUUCAAAUCUCUUAUAAUUUAAAAGAAUUAGUGUGAUAGUGUUCACCAAAAGCAAUAUCUUAGCUCAAAAAAAUUUACACUCUUUAUCUGUUUUUGGUACUUUUUGCUAAAUAUAAUUGAAAAAAAAAAUAACCAUCUUUUUCAAAUUGUUCUUAGAAUCAUAACUGGAGUUGACAAGGAAAUGUUAGAUUUUGUGUCUUUUCACUUUGAACUUGAAAAUUUCAUUUUAAUUUGUUCAUUUUAUUCAUUUUCUAGUGAAUGCAUGCAUUACACCAAUUUGUUAUACCAAAAAAAGUUCUGCAGCAAUUCCCAUGAUUGUUACACUGUUGUAACAUGGACCAUAAUUUUGAUUGUGGCUGAUGCUAUGAUUUAUAUCUAUAGAUAGUACACCUAUAUGAUAAACUAUUUAUGCAGGGAUUUUAUUGAGGUGUUUUCUAAUUCUUUUUCUUUCAAGAUAUUUAGAAGUUCUUAUAUAGCAGUUGGCUGGCCAAACUUACCUGCUGGUUUGGCACAUCUUUGGGUAUUAUUCCCAUUAUUAAAAUUGCAUUUAAGCAAUGUGUAUAUCAUAAACUCCUUUGCCUUCUAAUCACUUUGAUUUAAUGGCUUCAUAGCCCUAGGAAAAUGCCAAGUUGAAUCUGAAUUUUUGGGUUUUAUUCUUAGGUUUGGUUUUCAUGUUGAAAUGCAAUGUUCAAGCACAUGUGAAUGUGUGAUUUGAAAAUAAAAUCCAAUUUGAUUGAUUAAUGGGUUUGGAGGUGAUACGAACUUAGGAGAAUCACACCCCAAAAGCUAGCUAUUGA
rnacentral:misc_RNA from 1 species